rnacentral:rRNA from 1 species
AUUGAACGCUGGCGGCAGGCCUAAAACAUGCACGUCGAACGCGUGGCGGACGGGUGAGUAAUGACUGGGAAACUGCCUGAUGGAGGGGGCUAACUACUGGAAACGGUGGCUACUACCGCAUACCCUCGGAUGUGCCCAGAUGGGAUUAGCUAGUAGGUGGGGUAAAGGCUCACCUGGGCGACGAUCCCUAGCUGGUCUGAGAGGAUGACCAGCCACACUGGCACUGCGACACGUUCCAGACUCCUACGGGAUGCAGCAGUGGGGAAUAUUGCACAAUGGGCGCAAGCCUGAUGCAGCCAUGCCGCGUGUAUGAAGAAGGCCUUCGGGUUGUAAAGUACUUUCAGCGGGGAGGCGUGACCCGCAGAAGAAGCACCGGCUAACUCCGUGCCAGCAGCCGCGGUAAUUC